AGCUGGAGGAGUUGACAGCAGAUUUUGGGUUAUGCCAACCACCAGACUAAUAUCUCAAGGAUAUAAAAUGCCACUCUGCAUGAAGAAAAAAGUUGGGAAAAUAUGUAAACAUUGAACUGAGUUGUGGUGCACUUGAUCCUGAUGCUACAUCUCCAAAUGGAGACAGAUGGAACAUGUGUGUGUUUAAAGCCACUUUUCCAAGACAGGAGAAUGCUCCAAUGGCAUAAUGUUACACCUGUACCAAGGGGUGAGUGCAGCACACCUCCCUGAGCAGGGACUGUUUAACCUUCACACUGCCUCACAUGAAGGGUUUGUCUCUGAAUGUUCUUCCUCAGCCCCUUCUUCUCUCAUUUCUUAACAUGGGGGCACACAACCAUUCAACUGCAAACCAGUUUUGUUUUCAUUUUAGCUUUCACAACCUUCCUGCUGUUUUUAAAUGAGUACAAGGUGUAGUGAGGGGUUUUCCUUGUUACCUUUCAUUGAAAUAUUCACACUAAGAUGGAAAAUUCCAGGGAGCAGUUAAGAAUGGGAGAAGGCAGGAUUACCAUACAUCAAAGGGAAAGCAGCAUUUGCUAACUCCUUCAUUUUGCAUGUAUGUGAUUCACAAACUGCUUCAUGAAAAUGGAAAAGUGAUCGAGGAAUCGCUCAGGUCCGGACAAAAAAAAAUAAAAUAAUAGCAACAACUUAAUUUCCAUGAAAAUGGGCUGGUCUCCAAAGCAUCUGCCAAGACCAGACACUGUGGUGCUUGCAGCUUUCCUUUGUUGGCUCUUGAAAGCAGGUAGAGCCAGGAACAUUCCCGUGCCUCGUGCCAAGCUGUAAGAUGUGGUACAUGACUUUCAGAUGAGGGAAUUUCACAUUUCUCCCUGAAUAUUUCACACUACAACAGCACAGAGAAAAGCACAGACGCUGCUGAAAUCAGGAGGUGAUGAAUUGAAAGGCUAAAAAUGGAUUCUUCAGCAUUACUCUGUAGUAUGGGGAACUGAGAAGGCAAUUAAAACCAACAUGAAAGGAGAUUUAACUGCAAAUCAGCAAAACCUGCUGAAGCCCGGAUGGCAAGAGGGGAAGAAUCACCCCAGGCCCUUCGCAGAGGAGGGCAGUGCCCUCAGCUCCACGGGCAGCUGAUGGGGAGGGAGGGACAGGCCCUUCCCGAGGCUCUGAGGGCGCAGUCCUCGGGCACUGAUUCACCCACACACACAGGGAAGAAAUGCGGGACGAACCCGGGCAGUCCCUCCGCGGGGAACACAGCCCAGCCUCCCCUGCCCACCCUGCCGGGUCACCGCGCCCAGCGCUGAAGGAAAAACCCAAGGAGGGCGCGAUGGGCCUGGCUGAGGCUCUGCCCUCCGCCCGCCAUCGUUCUGGGCGUGGGCUUUAAAUCUGAGCUCUGUGGACUCCAACACCUCCCCCGAGGACGGGCAGGGGGGAGCCGGGAGAAGGGGGAGAGGAGGCCCGGCAGCUGCUGAGGACACAGCGGGAGGACAGGCGAGACUGGUUUGGAAGGGGUGGGCAUGGAACGAGGCAGGGUGGGAACAGCCUCAGCCCGUCUCUUUGGUCAGGCAGCUUUUAGCAUUUCAAAGCCUUGCUUUCCUUUGUGACUCCAACCGCUGACUAAAACAGGCAAGCAGGUAUUUACAGGAUCAGCCCAGCCCCUCCUGCCUAGGUGGCCUGAAAGGCUCCGUUGCUGUGUCCUGCACGCAAAUCGCGGUGUCUCGUUCAAAGGCUUUCCUGGUGCCAGGGCAGGAUUAUGGAAAGGGAGAGCAGCGCCGGCUGUGGAAAAUGGAAAAUGGAAAAUGGAAAAUGUCAGGGCCCUGCUGCUGCUGCUGGUCACAUGGAAGAGCAGUAUUUGUGACAGGGAAGAGUGAAGGUGACUGCUGGGGAGAAUGGACACCUUGGAACAACCAUGAGAGCUUUUCCAGGUGAGCAGAAGAUCCUUCCCACUCCUGUUUUUUCCGGGGUAGCCAUUGACAACAUCCACAGCCCAGCAACCACAAGCAUUUACUGCUUGGGCAGAGCCAGGGAGGGACUGAUCCCGCCUCCCCUCGUUUCCUCAUUGCCUUUCCUCCUCCAUUUAUUUCCUUUGAGCUUUCCCCUUUGAUUAAACUUCUGGCAUAUUGGACUGUUUAAUAAUAAAACAGAUAACUCAUGGGAGAUGAUAUUUAUAAAAUCUACUUCCUUUUUUUUCACUUUUUGUAAGACCUUGAGAGAAAAUCUUGAACUACAUUCUUCCUUUAAAAAAAAAAAAAAAAAAAAAGCAGAACAAGUUUACAAGUUUUCAAACAAUCAAUGUUUUAUUUGGUUAAUUUAUUAAACACCUUUAAGACAAUUAAUUUUGGUCUGUACCCUUCUAUAAAAUGAUUCAAGUUCUGAACAAACCUCCAAUACAUAAAGCAAAGUUACUUUUACCAUACGCAAAUUUCAGAUCAAAAUACAACACUCUGUUUUCUUACAUUUAUAAAACCCGGUCAAAUACAAACGACAUUAAAAAAGAUAAAACACUUUCACUGAUCCUUGGUACAAUAUUACAGCACAAUUUGCACAGUGGCGACUAAGUCCUCAAAGCACAAGUCAAAUACUUUAAAAAGGGAGCCUCCCUUUAGUCACCCAACGUUCUACUGAACACGUAAACAAAGCGAGUGCUACUGAAUCCAGGAAAAUUCCCGUGUCCCUUUUCAUACCAUGUGUGAGCCACAAAGCAAUUCUGCAAGGGAAGCUACUGGUGAGUAACCAAAGAGCUUUCCUACUUUGCUGUUACCAGUUUUUUGUGCAACUAUUCCGUGAAAAUAAACAAAUGGAGGUGGACCAGACUCUGCACUGGGCAAUUUAUGGCAACUAAAGUAAACCAAGAAACGAGUGUUUUUUCUAAAAACAGACCAAAAAGCUAUUUAAAAAACCUCAAUACCAAAUUAUCCAUGGGUACAACUGGAGUAACUGCCUUUUGCUUCACCUUCAAGA